UAGGGAAUCUUCGGCAAUGGACGAAAGUCUGACCGAGCAACGCCGCGUGAGUGAAGUAGGUUUUCGGAUCGUAAAACUCUGUUGGUAGAGAAGAACGUUGGUGAGAGUGGAAAGCUCAUCAAGUGACGGUAACUACCCAGAAAGGGACGGCUAACUACGUGCCCG
rnacentral:rRNA from 1 species